UCCACAAAUGCACCGCUUCCUCCAUCUUAGAUGAGGAUGCCUCUUCCUCUGGUUCUCAGAAGCAGGUGCACCAUUAGUGUAACUAUCAUGUUUCCACUGCAGGUUCUUCUUGUCAUUUCAAUAAUUUGCUCUUAUGGAGAUGCCCAAGAGCUCAAGCAGCUUCAGGUAUCCAUCACUAAACAGGAACGUAAAACUGCACCAAUUCAAUGUCAUGUUUCUGGCAUAAGCCUGGACAGUGCUUAUAUACACUGGUAUCGGCAGAAGCCAGGGAAAGCUCCAGAGAGGAUUCUCUACUUGUCAUCAGGAAAACCUAUCUUUGACCGAGAUUCUGAUAAAGGGAAGUUUGAAGCAGAGAAGAUCCUGUCUGACUCCACCUGUACUCUGACAAUAGAGCAAACCAGCAAAGACGAUGCAGCUACCUACUACUGUGCCUACUGGGCUGACACAGUGAUAACAAAGCACCAAACAGCUGUACAGAAACUUUCUCUGUACUCUGAGCCACGGCAUGUCACAUAUUCAACACCACAAGUACCUUCCUGCCCCUGCCCCUUAGUCUGGAACCAGCUACAGAAACUCCUUCCUGGAUUGUGCCAUAACUCAUGAAAAGUCAUAUAUUGUUGCUGCUUUGGCCUCUGUUUUGUGGGCAACCACUGGGAUUGCAUGUGACCUUACUGAGAAGGAGAUCAAGUGAUUACCUAAGACAGCAAGUAAUGGUGGCACCCAUUUUCAGUCAUUUUCUGUGAGUGACUGAAGCUUGAUACGGGUGCAUGAUGCCAGUUUGCCUACAGCUGACA